CGUCGCCAUAUUACAUGUAGUGUGGUCAGACUAUUUUACAUACCUCAGGAGAUGACACAGUUCUGCCUUGGUUACGCUCAGUUUAUAUUUCUCCAGUCUAAUACUACAAAACAAGUAGUGCUGUGGUCCGUCUCACAAGUUUUACAGGAUAGUAGCAUUUAGCACGACGACACAAUGCAGUGAGGGACUGGUGCACCAAGGCCAGUGGUUAAAACAACUCAAACAGAAGAGGCUAGCUUCAGCAGGACCCAUUGUAAUACAACUUGGUACAUCUUUAGCUUGUCCUUGAUGCCGCGUACAGAUAGUUAAGCUUAAAAACCAUUAUUCAUGUGGAGUCUACAAACCACUAACACUUACAAACAAAACUGUGUCUACGUAGUCUGAGGUAGCAAGGCAAUCAUGGCUUUCCUCUGAUUUCCAAACAUAUAUUAAAAACUAAAUAAUGAUUGAUCAGCUUUAAUUAAAUCUAUAAUCUCCAAAACUUUUACUCUUUUGUACACAGUUGAAUUUUUCCAUCUUCCACGUAGUAUGGAAAUUGUAUAGGCACAGAAGGGAAAGGUUUUACAAAACAAAUUGACAAAGUUUUGGCGGUUUAUCAAUGCAUUAAAGGGGGGAUUUGACAUCAAGCAUGCCACGAGAUUUAUCUUCGAAACAGAGCAGACGACAGCUUCUCUCCGGAAUGGUAACGGCGACUGUAGCUUCUAGUUUUGACAAAUGAUAGGAAACUAUGGGUAGUACAAAGCAAUGGAAAAACACGUAAAAUGUAACAGUGGAUUCCCAGAACAUAAGUGGAGCACGAUCCCAAAGCACAGAUAACAGAUCAAACAAAGAUAGUUUUUGGACUGUACAAAUAUACCCCCAUAUCUGAGUACUGCAUUUCUAAAACAAAAUCACAAAUACCAAAUGUGGAACUGUCCAGGAAAGGUACAGAUUGCAUAGUACGAGACAAAGUGUUGGGUGCGGUCCUGGUCGUGGGACGUCUUUGGGAUUCAGAGUCUGGACUGGGGUGGAGGAUGGUCCGAGCCGUUUUAGACAGUCACUAAACACAACAGUGCCCUCUGAUAAUCACAUCACCUG
ensembl:lncRNA